rnacentral:rRNA from 1 species
AUUGAACGCUGGCGGCAUGCCUUACACAUGCAAGUCGAACGGCAGCACAGCAGAGCUUGCUCUGUGGGUGGCGAGUGGCGGACGGGUGAGGAAUACAUGGGAAUCUGCCCAGUCGUGGGGGAUAACGUAUGGAAACGUACGCUAAUACCGCAUGCGCCCUAAGGGGGAAAGCCGGGGACCGCAAGGCCUGGCGCGAUUGGAUGAGCCCAUGUUCGAUUAGCUAGUUGGCGGGGUAAAGGCCCACCAAGGCGACGAUCGAUAGCUGGUCUGAGAGGAUGAUCAGCCACACUGGAACUGAGACACGGUCCAGACUCCUACGGGAGGCAGCAGUAGGGAAUAUUGGACAAUGGGGGCAACCCUGAUCCAGCCAUGCCGCGUGAGUGAAGAAGGCCCUCGGGUUGUAAAGCUCUUUUGUCCGGAAAGAAAAGCAAUCGGUUAAUACCCGGUUGUUCUGACGGUACCGGAAGAAUAAGCACCGGCUAACUUCGUGCC